rnacentral:rRNA from 1 species
UACAGAGGUGGCAAGCGUUGUUCGGAAUUACUGGGCGUAAAGGGCGCGUAGGCGGCCUACUAAGUCGGACGUGAAAUCCCUCGGCUCAACCGGGGAACUGCGUCCGAUACUGGUGGGCUCGAAUCCGGGAGAGGGAUGCGGAAUUCCAGGUGUAGCGGUGAAAUGCGUAGAUAUCUGGAGGAACACCGGUGGCGAAGGCGGCAUCCUGGACCAUAACUGACACUGAUAAGCGAAAGCCAGGGGAGCAAACGGG